ensembl:lncRNA
AUGCGGUUUUUGUUCACUCUCUCUGCUUUUCCAGCUGUUGGAGAUGAUGAGGUGAAGAAGUCGGAGGGCAAACAGGUGGAAGGGAUCUUUGGGUUUGGAAAGAAGGAUAAAGACAAAGAAAAGAGCAAGGAAAAGAGCAAAGACAAGAGUCAUGAUAAGGAUAAGCAUAAACACAAGGAACACAAAGAUAAAGAACAUAAGGAACAUAAAGGCAAAGACAAGAAGAAGAAGAAAGACAAGGAACACAAGAAGAAGAGCGGUGGCAAGUCCUCCUCUUCCUCCAGCGAUUCGCAUUCCAGCAGUUAGACGUCACUUAUCACACAGAUAUCACACAUUUGGAGACACACCCGCUAAGGAAUUUAAAAAACGGCUUUAUUCAGACACGGAGGGAGAGGAUCUUUGUGGAAACGCACUGAACAAUACGCUUGAACUUUGUUUUAAGUAAAACAAUAACCUGUUUAGUGUGUAUAGAUAAGGUCAGUGAGGGGAAAGCAAAUCCUGGUUACCAUAGUAACACACAGACUUCUAUAGAGAAAAUAGUUUAAAGAGAAUUUUUUUUAAAUAGAUGAUACAUUAUGUAUUUUUUUUUUUUAUAUAAUUAACUAAAUUUAUUUCUUUAUAUAUAAUUUUAUAUGUACAUUUUUAUAUUUAUCAAUUUUAAUAAACAAGNAUAUAUAUAUAUAUAUAUAUAUAUA